UACGUAGGGUGCGAGCGUUAAUCGGAAUUACUGGGCGUAAAGCGUGCGCAGGCGGUUUUGUAAGUCAGAUGUGAAAUCCCCGGGCUUAACCCUGGGAACUGCGUUUGAAACUACAAGGCUAGAGUGUGGCAGAGGGGGGUGGAAUUCCACGUGUAGCAGUGAAAUGCGUAGAGAUGUGGAGGAACACCGAUGGCGAAGGCAGCCCCCUGGGUUAACACUGACGCUCAGGCACGAAAGCGUGGGGAGCAAACAGG
rnacentral:rRNA from 1 species